AGUCGUGUUCGAUCCCUGGUCAAGAUCUGACCGCUGAUGGCGUCGCCUACAGACAUGCAAGUCGCGCGAACCUGUGAGUCAUUUAAUCGGUUAAUGGCGACAGGGAGAGUAGAUAAUAGGAAACGUACCCUUCUGUUUUGGUAAAGCCACUCAAAAGGAUGGGUAAUACCAAGAUAUAUAUCACAGGUCGAUAGACGUGUGAUCAAAGAUUUAUCGGACGGUGGAGCGACCUGUCUCCUUUCAGCUUGUUGGUGAGGUAAUAGCUCACCAACGCUUAGACGGGUAGGGGGAGUGAGAGGUUGGCCCGCCACAUCGGGACUGAGCCACUGCCCGGACCCCCACCGGGGGGAGCAAGUAACGAAUCUUGCGCAAUGGGCGAAAGCGUGACGCAGCGACGCCGCGUGUAGGAUGAAGUCUUUCGGGUCGUAAACUACUGUCAGGGGUAAGAAAGUGCGCUUCGGCGUAUUGAUCUAACCCAAAGGAAGUCACGGCUAACUUCGUGCCAGCAGCCGCGGUAAGACGAAGGUGGCUAGCGUUGUUCGGUAUCACUGGGCUUAAAGCGUGUGUAGGCGGAAUGGUAAGCGUCUUGUGAAAUCCCUCGCCUUAACCGAGGAAUUGCUGGCCUAGCUGCUUUUGUUGAGGCAGGCAGGGGUGCAUGGAACUCUUGGUGGAGCGGUGGAAUGCGUAGAUAUCAAGAGGAACGCCAGUGGAGAAGUCGGUGCACUGGACCUGUCCUGACGCUGAGACACGAAAGCGUGGGUAGCGAACGGGAUUAGAUCCCCCGGUAGUCCACGCCGUAAACGAUGUCUCAUAGGUUGCGGGAGUUCUGACACUUGCGCGACCGAAGCAAAAGUGUUAAGUAGACCGCUUGGGGAGUACGGCCGCAAGGCUAAAACUCAAAUGAAUCGACGG
rnacentral:rRNA from 1 species